rnacentral:rRNA from 1 species
GACGAACGCUGGCGGCGUGCUUAACACAUGCAAGUCGAACGGUGAAGCAGAGCUUGCUCUGUGGAUCAGUGGCGAACGGGUGAGUAACACGUGAGUAACCUGCCCUUGACUCUGGGAUAAGCGUUGGAAACGACGUCUAAUACCGGAUACGAGCUGAGACCGCAUGGUCAUCAGUUGGAAAGAUUUUUUGGUCAAGGAUGGACUCGCGGCCUAUCAGCUUGUUGGUGAGGUAAUGGCUCACCAAGGCGACGACGGGUAGCCGGCCUGAGAGGGUGACCGGCCACACUGGGACUGAGACACGGCCCAGACUCCUACGGGAGGCAGCAGUGGGGAAUAUUGCACAAUGGGCGCAAGCCUGAUGCAGCAACGCCGCGUGAGGGAUGACGGCCUUCGGGUUGUAAACCUCUUUUAGUAGGGAAGAAGCGAAAGUGACGGUACCUGCAGAAAAAGCACCGGCUAACUACGU